AUCCCUGUGGAGCAAUGGAUAGCGCGUUGGACUUGUAAUCCAAAGUUCGUGGGUUCGUAUCUCACCAGGGAUG